rnacentral:rRNA from 1 species
UACGGAGGGUGCGAGCGUUGUCCGGAAUCACUGGGCGUAAAGAGCGCGCAGGCGGUCGUUCAAGUCGCGUGUGAAAGCCCCCGGCUCAACUGGGGAGGGUCACGCGAUACUGAUCGACUCGAAGGCAGGAGAGGGUAGUGGAAUUCCCGGUGUAGUGGUGAAAUGCGUAGAUAUCGGGAGGAACACCAGUGGCGAAAGCGGCUUCCUGGACCAGUACCGACGUUCAGGCACGAAAGCGUGGGGAGCAAACAGG